rnacentral:rRNA from 1 species
UUUCCGACUUUGUGAGCUGUGGUGGGGUUCCUAGGCUUUAGGUUCUGCAUCAUUUGCUCGUGGGUGGCAUGGCUUGCUUCUGCAAGCGCUUUCAUGCUGCUGUGUUGAUGACCUUUUGUUGAUUGCUUGUACUUGUUUCUUGCAUUGAACUUGAAUGUGAAAUGUGUUUUUGCAAUGAAUGUCUUAGCUCAAUUGAUGAUGAAGAAUGCAGCAAAAUGUGAUAUGCAUUGUGAAUUGCAGAAUUCCGUGAGCCAAUAGAUGUUUGAACGUAAUUUGCACCUUCGGGAUAUGCUUGAAGGUGUGCUUGAUUCAAUGUCAAUUAACUUCCAACAUUGAAUUUGCUGUUCAGCAACGUUGUGAGCUGUGUGUGUCAAUGCUGUUGCAUUGGACACCCGCGCUUGCGAAUGCAUUGCAACCUCAUUGUGUUUGCUUAGGUCUAGCCUUUGUCACUUGCAUUGGUUGCAUAGUAUUUGUCUGGGUAGCUGAACAGCGUAAACUUAACAUGAAGUGAAGCAUGUAAACCUG